GUGAGACUUAGACAUUUAUUUAUUAUUGUUAUUAUUAUAAAAAUAUUUCUAUUCUUUCAAUCGUUAUUAAAUGUUUCCUUAAUUCUUCAAUCUUUUACUAAUGGACGAAUACGUGUUCAACUUAUAAAUAGAAACGUGAACAGAUUGCAUGCUCUGAGUCGAAUAAUCGCCUUGAUAGCAAUCAGGCUUGAUAAUAUCGCAGGACCAAAAUUUUUUUGAAAACUUCAAUCAACGAACUUAUGUUUGAAUAAGUAUAUAAAUUUAAUGACUCUGGCAGUUUUCGAUGAAAAAAUUUUUUUCCACAAAAAAUAAUUGUACUCAUCAAUCAUUUUUGACUGUCAAAAUUAAUAUUGAAAUUGGUAAAAGGAUAAAAAAAUUUUUCAUACUGCCAACAACUGCGAUUACUAAAAAACAAAAGAAUAAUUUUUAGUUUACAUUGUGAAUUUUUUUUGCAACUAAAGUUUUGUUAAUAUCAAUACAACACUAACGAGAGAAUGAUAUAAAGAAAUAUUUGAAAAAAUCUUUCUAACCGAGCUUAAAUUUGUUAAUUACUAAUAAAUUAGCCGUAAUGAACUUUUUUAAAAUAAAUAGCUUAACUGUUUUUAUAAGAGCUAAGAAAAUAAAUGUAAGCUAACACGUAAUCAUCAAGUAUAUAUGCCUUAUAAUCUAUCAAUAACAAAUAUUUUUAUUUCUAACUGUUUAAUGAUUUUUUAAAUCAUUUAAUCGUUUUUAAAUCAAUUACUUACACGCAGUAAAGUAUUUCAUUUCCAAUUAUAUAAACUGCCAGAAGUAUCUGUAGUAAUAAAGUAUAUUACAAUAGAAUUCAUAAUAUUCAAACCAAUUUAAACAUUUUCUUAAUAAAUCAAACAGAAUGUUGUGUAUUUACAAGUUAAAUUAUAUUAAUUAUUAGAAAUUAACUAUUUGGCCGAUAAAACAAUCAAUUAAAAAAUGUGUCAAUAUUCGAUUAUAUAAAGUGUAUAAGAAUUUUAUUAAAAAUAAUAUAUAUAAUAUUCCGUGAUUUUUUAAAAAAAAACUAAAUCUAAAUGAUUUAAAAAUUAUAAGAAAGAUGAAACAAGAAGACUUUAAUAUGCUAUAAUAAAGAAAUGUUAUUUAGUAAAAUUAUUAGGAAAAAAACCAAAUUACGCUUAAUAUAAUUAUUCUCGGUACUUUAGUGCGUGCUAAAAAAUCUUUUGUAUUCAAAGACUGAAGGUUCACUAAAUAGAAAAACAGGCUUUUACACCAAUAUUCAAUAAUAUUCUUCCCAUCAUGAAUAGAUAAUAAUAAAAUAGAAAAGAAAAGAAACAGAAAGUUUUAAUUCAUAGCUGCAAAUUAAAUAUAUAACUGAUAUUGAAUACCUAAUUAAAAAUUUGUAGCUGGCUUUUUCAAGUUUGACCAAUUUUUGUGAAAUCGAAGUUUUUAUAUAAAAACAUUAUUUACAUUAAAAAAAAGUAGUACUCGCAAACAAUAGUAAUUAAAUUAAAAAAAAUAGGAAUAAAUUAUACAAAAUUAUAAAAAUAACAAAAAAAAUUAAUUAAUGACUGAAAUAAUCAAUCAUACUAGAAUACAUACGUUAGAUAAUAGCAUUAUGAAAGAAGAUAUAAUACAGAUGAAAAAUAAAAUUAUUGAGAGAAUAAUAAUAUUUGUUGCAACUGAGUAAUAUGGCUGUACACACAUUCAAUUGAACUUUAUAUCAUCACUUUAUAAAAAAUAUAUAUGUACAAUAUAUAGAUAUAGAUAUAAAUAUAUAUUACAAUUAAUUCAUAUGAAAAAUAUAUGUAUGUACAUACAUGGAGUAAAAUAUAACAAGCUAUUAAUAUGUUGAACAUA